UGGGGAAUAUUGGACAAUGGGGGAACCCUGAUCCAGCCAUUCCGCGUGGGUGAAAAAGGCCUUAUGGUUGUAAAGCACUUUAAGCGGGGGGGAGGCUCCCUUUGUUAAUACCCAAGAAGAGUGGACGGUACUCGCCGAAAAAGCAACCGCUAACCCUGUGCCCGGCGCCGCGGUAAUUCCAAGGGUGCGAGCGUUAAUCGGAUUUACUGGGCGGAAAGCGUGCGUAGGCGGCUUUUUAAGUCGGAUUUGAAAUCCCCGAGCUUAACUUGGGAAUUGCAUUCGAUACUGGGAAGCUAGAGUAUGGGAGAGGAUGGUAGAAUUCCAGGUGUAGCGGUGAAAUGCGUAGAGAUCUGGAGGAAUACCGAUGGCGAAGGCAGCCAUCUGGCCUAAUACUGACGCUGAGGUACGAAAGCAUGGGGAGCAAACAGG
rnacentral:rRNA from 1 species